AGACAUGGAAGCCAAGGCCUCCAACUCCGAUUUGGACCGAUGAUUAGUUAAUCUUAUUUGUGUAACUUUAUUGUGUUUGGGUCGUCCAAUUCCUACUGAAGCUUCCGUCGGCUUCAUAUCAUCAACGUGAGUCACCACCGGUCCCACGGCCACAACGUCGAUUUCCAUGGUGAAAACCGACUCUUGUAACCUUAGUAUCUGCCGACAGUCAAGCCUAGCCAUCUCUCAAGUCCAAGAAGAGUCAUCUACCUCCAUUCAAUCCACCAAUCAGAGAGGGGUACACACCGGACAAGAUACAAAUCUCGAGGACCCACCAUC
rnacentral:lncRNA from 1 species